AGAGUUUGUAGAAUUAUCUAGGAUCCUGCAGGUGAUCCUUGCAAUCAGAGAAAAGUAAAUCCACCUGAAAGAGACCACUCUAGAAUCACCUGAGAAGAAGGUCUCUUCUGGGAUGUCCAAUGGAAGAUGUUUCCAGGGACUGGACUUGGGAUAUCUGUGACUCAAGAUGAAAUGUUCUGGUGAACUGAAUACUGGGAAUGGGUUACCAUGUUAUAAUCAUUCAUUUCUACCUAUAUGGUUAGCACCAGAUUGGGCAUGUAGGCAAGUCAAGUAACACACUCUGUCCUGCUUGGUCAAAGUGCCACAUACUUAGGGAGGAACAGCUGCAAGCGCUCUACCUCUUUUGCUGAUGUGAACCUAUCAGAAUUGUCUUCAUCGUCUUGUGAAAUCUGUAUUAUAAAAUUCUGGCUUACCCUGAAAAGCUCACUGAUCUCCAGUGAGCAGCCCAACAACAUAGUAUUACCUUGACUUUUUUUGCUUGUUUGUUUAAUCUGCCCUGAGGCAGAAGAAUGGUAAAAGCUAAGUUUUAACUGGGGUUAAAAGCCUUACCCAAGGUCACACAGCUGGGAAGUAUCUGAGUCUAUAUUUGAAUUCAGAAGCUCACUUCUUCACAACUAGCUCCCUAUCCAUGGAGCCCCCUAACUGUCCCUUCCGUUUCCUUUUACCUGCUACCCUUUCUGUUGCAAUCCAUAAGUUUUAUCUCUUGGACUUUGGUAUUCAUUCAAUUACCUAGAUCAGAGAAAAAUAAUGUAUGGAAAGCUUUUCCAACCUUUAAAUGCCUGCUGUUAGUGUCAGAGCCUUGAGGAAUGGAAUCACAAAAGGGUGAAGGAAGAUGUUUGAAGAUUCCAAAAGCUAAUAAUGGAAAUAUUCAAUGUAGAAAUGUCAAUAGUUCCACCAGAAAUUCCUGUGGCUAGCCUUUUCCUGUACCAUAUGUGAGCCAGAGAUGGAUUUAGAAUAUGCUUUGGAUUUGUGUUUUUCCAUUUUUCAAAAAAGAAAUUUGUGAAAUGGAAUGAACUGUUUUUCCUGUUUUGUUCUUUGACUUAUCG
rnacentral:lncRNA from 1 species